rnacentral:misc_RNA from 1 species
CGUAGGGGAACCUGCGGCCGGAUCACCUCCUUAGUUAUUAUAUUGUAGUAGUGGUAGUGGGUUAGAAGGGGCCUUGUGCUCUUUCUAAUCUGCGAGACUUUACAAUAAUUAUACUAAUAAAAUAAAAUAAAAUCCCUGAAUCUAUCAUAAUACACACACACACACAUCUGUCCUGUACUAAAUACAGAAUGGACUGUGAGAUAAGAUGAUAAGAUAAAGGGAGUGCAAUCAAAUCAAUUUGAUCAAUCAGUUCCUUCAUUUUUCAUACGGUUUGAAAAACUGAUUAGUAUGUUGUAUUUUUGACAAAUUGAUAUAAAGACAAAGAUUAGAAAUAAUGCUGAAUUAAAUAUGAUUGGUAAUUUAUUUUGCAAUCAAGUAUCUGUGCAUUUUUUGUAAUAUGAUAUUAAAAGAUCAUAAUUCGCUAUCUAUCAUCUAUCUGAUCAUUCCGAUAAAAAUCAGCAUGUAGUAUCGGAUGCAAUUCUUUGUCUCAUAUAAAAUGAGGAGUAGAGAUAAAGAAUGAAGUUGAUGUAGUAAACAUGAGUUUACAAUGAUCAUCAUGUAAAGGAAAACUCCAAUCAUAUAUGGAUAGAAAAUAAAAUACAUAGAAUAACUAAUACUAAUUCAAAAUUAUUAUGAUGAUGGAUAAUUUCUAUUCGCGUAAUAAUGGAAUAGUGAAUUGUAGUAAAAUAUUAUGUGUAACUGGUUGUAGUGCAAACAGAGAUUAAUAUAUAAACAUACAUACGAAAUACCAAUACCAACCAAAUUGAAUUAGACUUUUCUACCACAAGUGGAACUAACUAACUAACUAACUAACUAGAUAACAAGAUCCAACAAAGGACAAAGAAAGAAAGGAAGAAAUUAAAAAACUCCAAAAAAAGAAAGAAAGUAAUUAAAUUAAUUAAUUAAUUAAUUUAUAACUACUGGACUGGUGCAAAGACGCCGAUUGGUGGAUG